CCAAUUUUAGCUUAACAUGGGUCCUCCUUUGGUCAAAAGUUUGUUCCCUCCGAAAUGCGUGGGUCACGGGUUGCACACGAGUGACCAACGCGACUCACAUCCGUGUGCAACGCGUGGCCAACGGCUGUCUCACUCGUGCCUCAC